UAUUAUUGGGAGCAGCCCCUGUUUGGGAGCUGCCGGCGCACACCUUACGUGGAUCUGGUAAAAGACCAAAUUGUCCCUCCAGCUUUCCCCGGUCCCUCCCUCUAUGUUUCCAUUUGAUUUUUUGAGAAAGAAACAGGUCUUCCCCGUUCCCUCCCUCCAGCUUUCCCCAUUCCCGAGUCUCCCCCGAAACUGUGUCGGUUCCAUCCCCCCACCAGGUAGCUUUCAAGCCACUCUCCCCCUCGUAUGAGCAGAUCGUCUCCCACUCUCCCCCUCGUAUGAGCAGAUCGUCUCCCACAAACUGCCCCUCAUCCUUUCGUCUUCUCCGAUCUCAGCCCUCGAAGCGAAGCACCCACCGAGCUGCUCCCAAACCCAACACGACCCAACCCUCCCUUGGAGAUCAGUCCCCAAGCGGUCCCUAACCUCACCAACGGCGAAGCCCUUAGUCCAUUCGACGCGAAGUCGCCGUCAGUCCUUCGAGACGAAGCCGAAAUCAGACCACCAACGCGAGCUCGGCCACAGUCCACCGAAGCUGUGGGAGGGGGGAGUCCACCUACGCGAAGACAAAAUCAGACCACCAACGCGAAUCCUUCAAAUCUCCUGGAAGGUAAAUAAUCUGUGAAACUAGGGUUUCGGCAUACAUGUUUUUUUUUCUGUAUUUACUGCAUUAUUUUUCUCUGUAUUUGCUAGAAAGUAAUGGUGAGGGGCUGUAGAUGUUGCCGAUGUUGCCUGUCAUGGCAUACAUUUAUCUUUUUCCUCUCUGUGACAACCAAAUAUACUUCAUUUAUCUAGAAAAUUACAGAUAACAGAGGUUGUUGUGCAAUUGUUUUUCAGGAAUAUCCAAUUCCAAAGAGAAUAAACAGCUGGAAUUUAUUACUCGCCAUCCAGGUUAUGAUAUCAAGCUCCUCCAUCGCAUACGAUUUUACUUAUCAGAAAAAAGAAAAAAAGCUCCUUCAUCACAUACUGAAAAUCUUAGGUUAGGAUUGAUAUUUGAAGUUUCUUACAUUCAGGUGUAAUUUAUGAUAAUCUAUUACACCAUUAAUAAAAUAAAAGCACAUAUGGCAGUUGAUAUUUGUAAUUGUCAUAGCUGAAAAAAUGUAUCAUUUAUGGUGUCUAAUUUCUAAUUGUUCUUUCAGAAUACGUCUUAGACCUCGGCUAUGGUAGUUCUGUGUUAUAAUUUCUUGAAGGUUAUUAGUUUGGUAAUUCUGGUGGAAAAAACAGUUCAAAAAAUUAGCUUACUCCCAUUGAUUACUUCUUUGGUGUACUUAGUUGAUUUUAGAAGUAAAACAAAUGCAUAUUUGGCUAAUAUUAUAACUCAUCUGCGAUAUUUUGUUUCAGCUUUAACCCAUGAGUUGAACUCAAAAUCCAACCAUUUCCAGUAAUAUACCUGCCGCUUGUCGUUUGGCAGUAUGCUAGGAUCCCUUUAACCAUAAUAUCUUAGUGGACUUGAAGUUGACCCCCGAAAGCAUAGGUGGCAAAAAUAAUUACUUGAUUCGUGCCCCUUUUACAGAACUAGCUUUGAAGUUUCUUUCUAGGCAUUCACAUCUAGUUUUCUAAUUAACUCUUUCGUGUGUAUUUCGACGCUUAAGACAAUAUAUAACAGGAAGUACACAAAAAUUGCAGUCAUAUCUUUUUCCUCGCAUUCCAUGUGUAUGAAUUGAUUCCAGUAUAUGCUGAAGAUGCUUGGUAACAUGGGUUCUCUUUUGACUGUAUCAAAAAUAUAAUUUCUUGCUACACCACCCUUAGUUUGACUUCUCAGAAGCACAAAUUCCAAUUGGUUUUUCAGAAGCAGUCAUGUCAGCAUCUCAAUCAUCAUCUUUACUUAAUGAUUUUGUACUGGAAUCUCCAACAUAUUGGUGUGGUUUGAAAACACCACUAAAGACAUCUCACACAUCAAAAAAUCCUGGAAGGCGAUUUUUCGCUUGCCAAAACUAUAAAACGGGAGAAGCAAGGUGUGAAUUUUUUGUAUGGGCCGAUAUACUUCAUUUGCUAGAGGAAAACUUUCGUGCCCGUGAGUAUAAGGCGAGAACUAUUACGUGGAAUGAUGUAUUACAACGCGAGUAUGCCGUUCGGAAAAGGGAAGAUAAAGUGAGAGAAUCAGCAAAGAAUCUGAAAAAGCAAAAGCGAAAACUUUUGCUUUUGUACUGGAUUCUGACAUUUGUAAUUGUGUUUAUUUGGUUCGGAUAAAUUCUAUGUAAUGUUAGGUGUAUGGAUUAGAUGGGUUUUGCAUGGUUUUUUUGGAGACAACAUGGUUUGGACCAAGACCAUGUAUGUAAAUUGUAUGGUGUUAACCUCACCUUAAAUAUGAUCUUUUGUGCAA